rnacentral:rRNA from 1 species
GACGAACGCUGGCGGCGUGCUUAACACAUGCAAGUCGAACGGAAAGGCCCUGCUUUUGUGGGGUGCUCGAGUGGCGAACGAGUGAGUAACACGUGAGUAACCUGCCCUUGACUUUGGGAUAACUUCAGGAAACUGGGGCUAAUACCGGAUAGGAGCUCCUGCUGCAUGGUGGGGGUUGGAAAGUUUCGGCGGUUGGGGAUGGACUCGCGGCUUAUCAGCUUGUUGGUGGGGUAGUGGCUUACCAAGGCUUUGACGGGUAGCCGGCCUGAGAGGGUGACCGGCCACAUUGGGACUGAGAUACGGCCCAGACUCCUACAGGAGGCAGCAGUGGGGAAUAUUGCACAAUGGGCGGAAGCCUGAUGCAGCAACGCCGCGUGCGGGAUGACGGCCUUCGGGUUGUAAACCGCUUUCGCCUGUGACGAAGCGUGAGUGACGGUAAUGGGUAAAGAAGCACCGGCUAACUACGU